rnacentral:tRNA from 1 species
GGUCCCGUAGCUCAGUUGGUCAAAGCGUCCGCCUGGCGAGCGGAGGGCCGCCGGUUCGAGAUCUGGUCGGGACCA